rnacentral:rRNA from 1 species
CAAAUGACUCUCAGCAACGGAUAUCUUGGCUCUUGCAACGAUGAAGAACGCAGCGAAAUGCGAUACCUAGUGUGAAUUGCAGAAUUCCGCGAAUCAUCGAGUUUUUGAACGC